rnacentral:rRNA from 1 species
UACGAAGGGGGCUAGCGUUGCUCGGAAUCACUGGGCGUAAAGGGCGCGUAGGCGGCACGGCAAGUCGGGAGUGAAAGCCCGGGGCUCAACCCCGGAGGGUCUUCCGAAACUGCCGAGCUAGAGUGCGGAAGAGGCAACCGGAAUUCCCAGUGUAGCGGUGAAAUGCGUAGAUAUUGGGAAGAACACCGGAGGCGAAGGCGGGUUGCUGGGCCGACACUGACGCUGAGGCGCGAAAGCCAGGGGAGCAAACGGG